rnacentral:lncRNA from 1 species
GAAUAAACAGGAAAAAAACGGUUGAUGUUUUAAACACAACGGUAAAAACACUACAACAUAAAAUGCAGAAAAUAACCCUUUUUUUGGUUUUUAAAUAUGUUCUAGCCAAAGACAAAUUUAGAAAAACGAAGGUGAAUAAGAAAGUGCGAUGUAAAUUUUUUAAGAAAAUGACUGAUAAAUUUCUGAGGCAAAGGUUUGAAUUCACUGAAAAGAG